CAAGUCUUGUGCUAAAAUAUGCCUAGUGAAUGUUCACCACAAGGAUCAACCAGAAAAGACUUUAAAGGUGUAUGCUAUCUUAGAUGAUCAAAGCAAUCGAUCACUUGCCCGAUCUGAACUGUUUGAUCUAUUUUGCAUAAGAGGAGAGGUUCAUCCUUACACCUUAGGCACUUGAAGCGGCACUACAGAGGUCUUUGGAAGAAGGGC